rnacentral:lncRNA from 1 species
CUAUGUAUAUGGUUGUUUUGCCUGCAUGUAUGUCUGUGUGAUGCCCACAGAGGCAGAGGAGGGUGUUAGAUCUCUUGGAAUUGGAGCUACAGACAAUUAUUAAGCACCACAUGCAUGCUGGGAAUUGAAAUUGGGUCUUCUGGAAGAGCAGCUUCUGCCCUUAACUGCGGAGCCGUCUCUCCCGUCCUCCUCCACAUGUCUUCCGUAUGUAAUAAAGGACACUGGAGAUUGGAGUGAUGUCUUCGUGCUUCUGUGCUAAGCCUCCGGGGAAGUGUGAUUAUCUGGGUUGUGUCCACUGUCUCAUCUGUCACCCACAGUGUUGGGGUUUGCAACUGAGCAUGUCACUGCUAGAAGCACCCGGGGAAAGCUGCUAUGUUUGGUCUUUACCUUUGACCACAUCUGGAUUCUGGGGGUGGAACUCAGGUCUUGAUGCUUCCAAAGCAAGCACGUUACAAGCAGAACCAUCUUUCCCGCCUUUUGUUUUCUUUUGAGUGAGUAUCUCUGUGAAUACGAAUAGGUCGGAUUGAUUUGGGGUGAAACAUUCUGGAAGGCCUAACUGAGGCUGGGGAUGGAUGCUGCUUUGAAAUACUUAAGGCAAUACUGACAGGGCCCAGUAGCAUCAUGGAGAAGUUACAGGCUUGUCUUGUCUUGGUGCUGCUGCUGAUAAGAUGUGAGAAAACCACGGUGCUCAGAGAAACUUCUAGAGUCCCCUCGUUCCUCGUGUUCCCUUUUGCUUCAUUUCCUGACUUGUAAACAGACCAAACAGGAGCAGAUGACCGGUGAAUAAGAUAACCUAAGAGCUGAGCUCAGCAUAUCCUGUUAUGGUCGAUCCAUUUUUGUUUAGCUUUCCCUCUCUUUUAUGGGGAUGUGAUCAAGGUGCUGACUGGGCUUGUGAACAUGAGUGUUUUAAUUUUUC